AUACGGAGGGUGCGAGCGUUAAUCGGAAUUACAGGGCGUAAAGGGCGCGUAGGCGGCGUGAAGAGUCAGAUGUGAAAGCCCCGGGCUUAACCUGGGAACUGCAUUUGAUACUGUCAUGCUAGAGUUUGAUAGAGGGGAGUGGAAUUUCCGGUGUAGCGGUGAAAUGCGUAGAGAUCGGAAGGAACACCAGUGGCGAAGGCGACUCCCUGGAUUAAAACUGACGCUGAGGUGCGAAAGCGUGGGUAGCAAACAGGAUUAGAAACCCCAGUAGUCC
rnacentral:rRNA from 1 species